ACUCCUACGGGAGGCAGCAGUGGGGAAUAUUGCACAAUGGGCGCAAGCCUGAUGCAGCGACGCCGCGUGAAGGAUGAAGGUUUUCGGAUCGUAAACUUCUAUCAGCAGGGAGGAACCAAAUGACGGUACCUGACUAAGAAGCCCCGGCUAACUACGUGCCAGCAGCCGCGGUAAU
rnacentral:rRNA from 1 species